GGGGUUAUAGUGUAAUCUGGCAUCAUCUGGGACUCCAGUUGUCUUUGAAGAAAAAAACGCGUAACUGACAGUAUGAUGAUCAACAUCGUAUAGUAUGAUGAUCAAUUGGAGUACUGAGACAUGAGAAAUCCCAGGAUCGGGGUUCAAAUCCCUGUGACCCCA
rnacentral:tRNA from 1 species